GACGAACGCUGGCGGCGUGCUUAACACAUGCAAGUCGAACGGAAAGGCCCUGCUUUUGUGGGGUGCUCGAGUGGCGAACGGGUGAGUAACACGUGAGUAACCUGCCCUUGACUUUGUGAUAACUUCAGGAAACUGGGGCUAAUACCGGAUAGGAGCUCCUGCUGCAUGGUGGGGGUUGGAAAGUUUCGGCGGUUGGGGAUGGACUCGCGGCUUAUCAGCUUGUUGGUGGGGUAGUGGCUUACCAAGGCUUUGACGGGUAGCCGGCCUGUGAGGGUGACCGGCCAAAAUGGGACUGAGAUACGGCACAGACUCCAACGGGAGGCAGCAGUGGGGAAUAUUGCACAAUGGGCGGAAGCCUGAUGCAGCAACGCCGCGUGCGGGAUGACGGCCUUCGGGUUGUAAACCGCUUUAGCAUGUGACGAAGCGUGAGUGACGGUAAUGGGUAAAGAAGCACCGGCUAACUACGUG
rnacentral:rRNA from 1 species